rnacentral:rRNA from 1 species
AACGAACGCUGGCGGCAGGCCUAACACAUGCAGGUCGAGCGCACCUUCGGGUGAGCGGCGGACGGGUUAGUAACGCGUGGGAACGUACCCAGAUCUGAGGAAUAGCCACUGGAAACGGUGAGUAAUACCUUAUACGCCCUUCGGGGGAAAGAUUUAUCGGAUUUGGAUCGGCCCGCGUUAGAUUAGGUAGUUGGUGGGGUAAUGGCCUACCAAGCCUACGAUCUAUAGCUGGUUUUAGAGGAUGAUCAGCAACACUGGGACUGAGACACGGCCCAGACUCCUACGGGAGGCAGCAGUGGGGAAUCUUAGACAAUGGGGGAAACCCUGAUCUAGCCAUGCCGCGUGAGUGAUGAAGGUCUUAGGAUCGUAAAGCUCUUUCGCCAGGGAUGAUAAUGACAGUACCUGGUAAAGAAACCCCGGCUAACACCGUGCCAGCAGCCGCGGUAAUACGGAGGGGGUUAGCGUUGUUCGGAAUUACUGGGCGUAAAGCGCGCGUAGGCGGAUCGGAAAGUUGGGGGUGAAAUCCCGGGGCUCAACCCCGGAACUGCCUCCAAAACUAUCGGUCUAGAGUUCGAGAGAGGUGAGUGGAACUCCGAGUGUAGAGGUGAAAUUCGUAGAUAUUCGGAAGAACACCAGUGGCGAAGGCGGCUCACUGGCUCGAUACUGACGCUGAGGUGCGAAAGUGUGGGGAGCAAACAGGAUUAGAUACCCUGGUAGUCCACACCGUAAACGAUGAAUGCCAGUCGUCGGGCAGUAUACUGUUCGGUGACACACCUAACGGAUUAAGCAUUCCGCCUGGGGAGUACGGUCGCAAGAUUAAAACUCAAAGG